rnacentral:rRNA from 1 species
GUUUAUCGUGUACGCAAGUCAUUGGGUGAAUAAAACCCAAAGGCGAAAUGAAAGUAAAGAGUUGAGUUUAUAAAAUAUAGAAUUUAUUCUUUAUUUUAUAUUUCUCUCUUGAGGGAAGAUGAAAAUUUAAUAUUUAUUUUUAAUAUUUAUUAAAAUUUUUCGCAUUCCCAGGGCGCUUGUUUCACGCUUUGCGUGUCAAUGCGCACCUAGAGCGUACACGCUGAUACCCGAAAGAUGGUGAACUAUGCCUGGCCAGGACGAAGCCAGGGGAAACCCUGGUGGAGGUCCGCAGCGAUUCUGACGUGCAAAUCGAUCGUCGGAGCUGGGUAUAGGGGCGAAAGACCAAUCGAACCAUCUAGUAGCUGGUUCCCUCUGAAGUUUCCCUCAGGAUAGCUUGCGCUCGGUUGAGUCUCAUCCGGUAGAGCGAAUGAUUAGAGGCAUUGGGGUCGAAACGACCUCAACCUAUUCUCAAACUCCAAAUAGAUGAGACCCCCGGCUUUCUUAAAAUUGAAGCCGUGGGAAUAGGAUCAGAGUGCCAAGUGGGCCAUUU